UUAAUUGCAUUGCAUCUAAGUUAAUUCUGCAGGCAUAUGCCUUUAAUUCCAUACCAUCUAAUUAAUUCUGCAGGCAUAUGCCUUUAAUUCCAUAGCAUCUAAGUUAAUUCUGAAGGCAUAUGCCUUUAAUUCCAUAGCAUCUAAGUUAAUUCUGCAGGCAUAUGCCUUUAAUUCCAUACCAUCUAAUUAAUUCUGCAGGCAUAUGCCUUUAAUUCCAUAGCAUCUAAGUUAAUUCUGAAGGCAUAUGCCUUUAAUUCCAUAGCAUCUAAGUUAAUUCUGAAGGCAUAUGCCUUUAAUUCCAUAGCAUCUAAGUUAAUUCUGAAGGCAUA